rnacentral:rRNA from 1 species
CCUACGGGAGGCAGCAGUGAGGAAUAUUGGUCAAUGGGCGGGAGCCUGAACCAGCCAAGCCGCGUGAGGGAAGAAGGUACAGCGUAUCGUAAACCUCUUUUGUCAGGGAACAAAGGCGGGGACUAGUCCCCGGAUGAGGGUACCUGAAGAAAAAGCAUCGGCUAACUCCGUGCCAGCAGCCGCGGUAAUACGGAGGAUGCGAGCGUUAUCCGGAUGUAUUGGGUUUAAAGGGUGCGCAGGCGGCCUGUUAAGUCAGCGGUAAAAGCCCGGGGCUCAACCCCGGCGAGCCGUUGAAACUGGCGGUCUGGAGUUGGAGAGAAGUACGCGGAAUGCGCGGUGUAGCGGUGAAAUGCUUAGAUAUCGCGCAGAACCCCGAUUGCGAAGGCAGCGUACCGGCUCCACACUGACGCUGAGGCACGAAAGCGUGGGUAUCGAACAGGAUUAGAUACCCCUGUAGUC